rnacentral:rRNA from 1 species
UACGUAGGGGGCUAGCGUUGUCCGGAAUUAUUGGGCGUAAAGAGCUCGUAGGCGGUUUGUUGCGUCGGCUGUGAAAUCCCGAGGCUCAACCUCGGGUCUGCAGUCGAUACGAGCAAACUAGAGUGUUGCAGGGGAGACUGGAAUUCCUGGUGUAGCGGUGAAAUACGCAGAUAUCAGGAGGAACACCGGUGGCGAAGGCGGGUCUCUGGGCAACAACUGACGCUGAGGAGCGAAAGCGUGGGGAGCGAACAGG